UGGUUCCAGUGACUACUCAGCUUCCCCUAAGAACCCCAAGUCCCGCAAGUCAUCGCACUCAGGGGAGCUACAGUCCCAUUUUUAUGCUAAUGCAGAUUCUAACGGAAGUGGACGACUUCACAUACCUGGUCUCAAUCCAACAAUAGAUUUCUAAGCCAUUUGAAUGAGCAUAUCGGCGUCCAGACAUACUAUAUUCAUUUGAUUCUGAAGCUACUCUUCUCAGAAUGUUGAAAUUUGGUUGGCCCAGGGAUGUGAUUAACAUAUGCGGACCAGAAGUUGUGCAUUACUCCAUGUCUUUUAGUUUUUGUGAUAUAGCAUAGGUUUAUAAUUGCAUUUUUUUUUUUACGAGGCUUCAGCAAGAAUAAUAGCAAGCCAAUAAUCCACCGUUUUUUUGGGCGAUUAGAAGCAGCAAGAGCUCUAAAAUAUACUUGUUUGAGGAAAUUAAGUUCUCUUUUUAGAUUUGUUUUACUGUACGGCGUUUUCCUAAUUCCUGUUGGGAUCUUUGGUUAUUGUGCUCCUCGUCAUCACCAUCAUCUAGUAUUAACCGUAAGAGAGUGGUGGUGUUAUCCUUUUUUUUCCACUAUCUGAUUCACGAUGUAAUUGAAGUAACAAUGUCCAUACACUGUUGGCUGUGAACAUUCUUCAGUUUUUCAGCACUCGGUGAAAUAAAAAGUGAGUUAUUCUGCA
rnacentral:misc_RNA from 1 species